UGAACGUUACACAAUUAGAGAUGAACGUUUCACAAAUGCACGUUAUCUGAUCUACACAAUUAUACACGAUUGACGAACGCACGGUUAAGAAUGAAUGAUUGAUGAACGCACGAUACACGCACGAUACACGGUUAAGAAUGAAUGUUUGAUGAGCGCACGAUACACGCACGAUACACGCACGAUACACGAUUAAGAAUACACGAUGCACGCACGUUACACGGAAAAUACACGGAACGAUGAAUGAUGAACGCACGAUUGGUACACGCACGAUACACGCACGAUGCACGCACGCAACACGCACGAUACACGAUGAACGCACGG
rnacentral:lncRNA from 1 species